GCAGAGCCUCCGGGGGGCGGAGCCCUGGCGGCACCCCCUCUUUCGCCCUGCCCUCCUUCUCCUUCCACCCACCCACCCCGACACCCCUUGUCCCUCCCCCAACCACUCUGAACGGAUAGACAGGGGGAGAUUCAUCUUCGUCGUCGCACCCAGCUGCUGCUACUGCCAGUGCCACGUGCCUUGCAAGAUAAAGAAGCACCAGCAGAGCUGGCGAGCAGAAACCUGGCCUCAGGGCAAAAGAGAUGCCACAGAAAUAGUUACACAGGCCUCGGAAGGGAAGCCUCCACUGCGUGUACGGCCCCGUGGACUGCCGCAGGAUUUCCUAGGAUCCUCCUGGAAGCCUCAAAGAAUGGGUCAGAUUUUUGGAUUCUAAGCAUCAUGACACUCUAUAAAAGAGAGCCUGGAGCAACCUUGAAAUUAAGCCACACAGGCAGCCAUUUACUUGGUUAAUGAACAUUGCUAUUUCAUUGGUUUUAAGAAUCUGAGCUUAACAGAAUUCUCAUGAGCAGUUGAAGAUACCCCACCAAUACUUCCUUUCGGAGAGGAGUCCUGGAUGCUAAAACUGAACUAAUAAUUCCUUAGCCAGAGUUCCUGCAGAUAAUGCCCAUCAGUAUGGAAACAUAUGUAUGCAGAGCACUCAGGGCAGAGCCUGUGCACAGCAAAGGCUCAUUCAUACCGGUUAUUAGUAUUAUUACCAUCAUCAUUCUCUUUUUCUACCGGAUCACCCUUCCUGGGUUUUGUUAUACGUCAGUGUCUAUUCUCCCUCCUGAUGGUAACAGCAUCCCAACAGUGUUUUGGAGAAUCACUCCUCUGCUAUUAGAUGUACGAAGUAGUGGUACCUGUCUUCCUCUGGCUAACAGCUUAUCAGAAAAAUAAUCGAGUUGAGAGUAAUUGGGUUUACAUCAUGGAUUGAACUUUGGAAACUUCACUGACCACUUAAUUUAAACAUUAACUGGAGAAACUAUUACCACACAUGGAUGCAGCAGCAUUCUAUGAGGAGACGCUCUCCGAACAGCCAGGGUUAAAGGCGCUGGUGCUGAUGGUCAUUCUCGCUCCUGGCUGGAAGCUCCCUGGAGAGGCACUGGUGGCAGCAGAAUUCUCACCUUCUCGAGGUGCUCAGGGUUGGAAUCCUAGGUACAUCAGGGAAGCUCUCCUAGUCAACACAGGAGACGCGGGGAAAAUCAGGUUGCUAGAAGCUCCUUCUCAGUCAUUUUUUGGACCGUAAGAGCUGAACAAUGUUUGUCAGUAGUGAGGUGGGCGCCUUAUUCGGUACGAACUUUACUGGCUCCCUGAGUGAUGACAUCGCACUGGAGUGCAUGCCUUUAGCACUGUCACAUCCUUCUCCUGAAGAGAUCACUCACUCUGCGGAAGCCAGCUGCCACGUCACGAAGACCCUCUGGCUAUUCUGUGGAGGGGUUUACAUGACUCGGAGCUAAGGCCUCCUGCCAGCAGCCAUGUGAGCGAGCAUCUUGGGGGCAGAACCUCCAGCCUCAGCCUUUGGGUGACUGCAGACUGCAAGCCAAUUGCUUCACCUGCAGGCCUUGAGCCAAAACUGCCCAACUACCCAACUAAGCUCCUCUGGGAUCCCUGACCCUCAGAAAAUGGCAGACAAACAUGAGCCAGUGUGAACCAGAGGAAGACCUGAGACUUUGGAUGAAUCAGAAUCAGCCAAAAAAGUUCAUCUGGCAACUCCUGCGAACUGACCGUCAUCCAGAGGAACAGCUGUGAUGUCCACAGGGCACCCAGGCAUUCUGAAGAGCCACUGGCAUUGAGAAAGGGGCAGUGACAUUUCCCCCAGCCUGUCCUUCCUUCCCGGCUCCUGGGGGAGAGUGACAAAGCCAGAGGAUAAUGAGAUGACCGGAUCAACUUGUAUGGAGAAAAAGUGAAACUUCCCCAAAGAUGGGGAAGCUGAGGCACGGAGAGGCAGCUGGCCCAAGGUUACACAGGUUGCAAGUGGCAGCAGAACCAAGAUUUACACCGUGAGCAUCAGUGGGCUUAUCCUUAGCACCUCACUUGGGGAGGACACUGCAAUUAAUGUGAUUUUUCAAAUGGAAUCUUGAAAACCUUCAUGAAACACUGAAUUGGCAUGAUCCCUGACAUGGGUGGAUAAGUCAGGCAUCAGAACACUUAGCAGUCAUCUUUCGCUCUGUAACAAACCAUCCCCAAACUUCAAGCAGACUAAGAUGCAUGGGGAUCCAGAAGACCCAGCUUUGUCAGUGCGAAGCCGUCUCAGCGGAAACAGAAAUAUGACUCAGGAGCUUGUCCUUCUGGGCAUUCAGAUGCUUGUGUUCCCCCACUUCCUCCCUGAUACCUCCUUUCCGCCCCUUCUUCCUGACUCUCUUCUGUGGCUUCAUCACUGCCUGCUUCCAGAUAUUUUCUCUGUUCAGGCAGCCCUGCAAGCACCUGGCAGGGAUGACAAAUGAGCCUGCCUUCCUGGGCGACGUGACUGUCCAGAAACACAGCCUGGAGCAUGCACAAUGCAGCAGCUUCCACGCACAGCGCAAAUGCCGGAAUGCGCUGCAGGGUUGGAGAGAGGUCACUGUUGCAGAAACCCAACGCUGUUUGAGUCUGGCAUUCGAGGCUCUAGCCAGCUUUGCUUAAUUAGAGGAAUAAGCAAAUAGGUACCCCGGAGUAGCUUCUGGAUUGUCUCAACAGACUGAAAUGUCCAGUGGCCAGUGUGCCUGACAGAAUGCGGAAGGCGAGAGAACAGCAUAUGGCAGAAUGAGCCUGCAGCCCCAGAGAAAUCUCCCUCAGUCCCCACUCCAUCUGUGCUUGCGGGGCACCUCUCCCCACAGCACAGAGAUGCUGAGCUCAAGGCAGGAGCCGUGCAUGACGGGAAAAUGCAGAAGGAGCUUUGUGUCGUGCCACGCAUCAACAAAACACGUCCGUUCCACAGCACACAUCUCAAACCCAGAGCCAUGUGCACGGAGGGUGUUCCCACAGAGUCUUUGAGGUCAGGGCACAGGAAAGCUUCCUGGAUGAAGACAAUGUGAAAUGACUGCUGAACUGCGUCGGCGCUUGGCGUCGGGGUCUGGGGAAGGACGUGCUGUGCAGAUUAUUGGCCUCCUGAGGAACAUGAGGAACACAAUCGGGCGGCCGGGGUCCUGAGAGGGCUCCAGGCAGGCAAACCACUGGCUGAAGGAUUUCUCAGGCGUGCUUUCAACCCAAACAGUCUUGCUGACAGAGGGUGAAAGAGAGAAAAAUGGAGCCAGUGACUGGUGUUUUGUUAUGCUAAGUGUGCUGUCAGGGGACUUUUUAUUAGUGGGCAGUCACGGUUUCUCCAAAUGUAGGAAAACAUUUUGUCCUUGUGUUUUGUAUCCAUCUUCUUUCCUCAAGCCAUGUCCAGGGCUCUGAU